UCCACCGAGUUAUUUUAUGGCGACUGCUUCUGUCGACUUUUAAAGAUGUUCGAAAUUGGAAAAAAUUACCGUUGGAAUAUUAAAAAAAAAAAGGUGAAACGUUAGGGGGAUUGCGAGUCGAGCCUACGUCAUGUUGCGGAGAAAUUAACCGAAACCGCCAAACAAAAAUAAAUUUAAACUUCAUUAUGUGUGUUGAGUACUAUUUAUUUAUAUGGACGUCCAGGUCGGCCAGAGAAUCCGAGAUUAAACGUUUUAUUAGAAGUUGAGGACAAUCUCAAUCCUGCAUUUUCUGAAGUAGCUUGAAAUAUUGAUGUCAGACAACAAAUAGCUUUGCGUGUGUUGAAAGAGCAAAAGUAUUAUCCAUACAAGAUUACAUUGCAUAGGAGCCGAAAAGAAGAUGAUCUCAGCCAUAAUGGAAAUGGCAAUUUAAAUCCAUUUUUUCAUCCUCAGAUACUGUUUAAUGAUGAAGCCACGUUUUGCUUAAAUGGUGCGGUAAAUCAACAUAAUUGAACGUCUUGUAUGUCAGCGAUCAGGUAACUUAUCGAAAAUAUAAAGCUCCGCCUCCAGAAUUAAUAUACAGAUUCAGGUGAAAAAGUUUAUUUUUUAAAUAUAUAUUUACACACUAUAAAAUUUGUCUUCUUUUUUAAAUUUUGAAAAAUAUAUAAUAGCAUCCACAUUGAAUAGUUUCUUUCUUGAAUUUCUUAACCUAAACCUGUUAGAUGGGGCUAUAUGCAAAAUGGAGUAUAUGAAAUUUAUAUGAAUGUAUGUAUGAUAUGUAGUUUUUUAUGUUCUAUCAUACAGUUGCUUUAAGUGUUGCAAAACUUACCGUUGCAUUAGAACUUUAAAGGGAAUCUGAUUCUAAAAAUGGGACGCGUACAUGUUCAUAUAAUAGGUAUUUGUUUAGUUUACACUGGAAUAGAAAAGAUGUAAAACUUUAUUGGAUCAUUAUUUUAUUGUGUUAU